AAUCCAAAAUUCUAAAUAAUCCAAAAUUCACAUAAAAAUCCAAAAGUUCACAUGUUAAUUUACACGUUACAAAUAGCCAAUACAUAAUCCAAAAAUCCAAUAGUUCUGUUACAUCAAUUGAAUUUGAGGAAAAGUAGAAAACAUUGUAAAUCCAACAGUUUGAAGCAGCAAGCUUCAAAGACAUUGCCAAAGAAGCUCUUUUGAAAUUGCAGCGCCCCCA
rnacentral:lncRNA from 1 species